rnacentral:rRNA from 1 species
GAUGAACGCUGGCGGCGUGCCUAAUACAUGCAAGUCGAGCGAACGGACGAGAAGCUUGCUUCUCUGAUGUUAGCGGCGGACGGGUGAGUAACACGUGGAUAACCUACCUAUAAGACUGGGAUAACUUCGGGAAACCGGAGCUAAUACCGGAUAAUAUUUUGAACCGCAUGGUUCAAAAGUGAAAGACGGUCUUGCUGUCACUUAUAGAUGGAUCCGCGCUGCAUUAGCUAGUUGGUAAGGUAACGGCUUACCAAGGCAACGAUGCAUAGCCGACCUGAGAGGGUGAUCGGCCACACUGGAACUGAGACACGGUCCAGACUCCUACGGGAGGCAGCAGUAGGGAAUCUUCCGCAAUGGGCGAAAGCCUGACGGAGCAACGCCGCGUGAGUGAUGAAGGUCUUCGGAUCGUAAACUCUGUUAUUAGGGAAGAACAUAUGUGUAAGUAACUGUGCACAUCUUGACGGUACCUAAUCAGAAAGCCACGGCUAACUACGUGCCAGCAGCCGCGGUAAUACGUAGGUGGCAAGCGUUAUCCGGAAUUAUUGGGCGUAAAGCGCGCGUAGGCGGUUUUUUAGUCUGAUGUGAAAGCCCACGGCUCAACCGUGGAGGGUCAUUGGAAACUGGAAAACUUGAGUGCAGAAGAGGAAAGUGGAAUUCCAUGUGUAGCGGUGAAAUGCGCAGAGAUAUGGAGGAACACCAGUGGCGAAGGCGACUUUCUGGUCUGUAACUGACGCUGAUGUGCGAAAGCGUGGGGAUCAAACAGGAUUAGAUACCCUGGUAGUCCACGCCGUAAACGAUGAGUGCUAAGUGUUAGGGGGUUUCCGCCCCUUAGUGCUGCAGCUAACGCAUUAAGCACUCCGCCUGGGGAGUACGACCGCAAGGUUGAAACUCAAAGGAAUUGACGGGGACCCGCACAAGCGGUGGAGCAUGUGGUUUAAUUCGAAGCAACGCGAAGAACCUUACCAAAUCUUGACAUCCUUUGACAACUCUAGAGAUAGAGCCUUCCCCUUCGGGGGACAAAGUGACAGGUGGUGCAUGGUUGUCGUCAGCUCGUGUCGUGAGAUGUUGGGUUAAGUCCCGCAACGAGCGCAACCCUUAAGCUUAGUUGCCAUCAUUAAGUUGGGCACUCUAAGUUGACUGCCGGUGACAAACCGGAGGAAGGUGGGGAUGACGUCAAAUCAUCAUGCCCCUUAUGAUUUGGGCUACACACGUGCUACAAUGGACAAUACAAAGGGCAGCGAAACCGCGAGGUCAAGCAAAUCCCAUAAAGUUGUUCUCAGUUCGGAUUGUAGUCUGCAACUCGACUAUAUGAAGCUGGAAUCGCUAGUAAUCGUAGAUCAGCAUGCUACGGUGAAUACGUUCCCGGGUCU